CUCCAGGUCUUUGUCUAUGUCCAUGCUGUACAGGUUCUGGAAGGUGUGUGUGUGUCUAACCUCCAGGUCUUUGUCUAUGUCCAUGCUGUACAGGUUCUGGAAGGUGUGUGUGUCUAACCUCCAGGUCUUUGUCU